AACUCGCCUGCACGAAGUUGGAAUUGCUAGUAAUCGUGGAUCAGCAUGCCACGGUGAAUACGUUCCCGGGUCUUGUACACACCGCCCGUCACACCAUGGGAGCCGGUAAUACCCGAAGUCCGCCUUGGCGGCCUAAGGUGGGGGAGAUGAUUGGGGUUAAGUCGUAACAAGGUAUC
rnacentral:rRNA from 1 species